GAUGAACGCUAGCGGCAGGCUUAAUACAUGCAAGUCGAGGGGCAGCACGGUUAGCAAUAACUGGUGGCGUUUUACCGGCGCACGGGUGCGUAACACGUAUACAAUCUACCUUAAACAGGGGGAUAGCCUUUCGAAAGAGAGAUUAAUACCCCGUAAUAAAUUGAACGGCAUCGUUUGAUUUUGAAAGCUCCGGCGGUUUGAGAUGAGUAUGCGUCUGAUUAGCUAGUUGGUGAGGUAACGGCUCACCAAGGCGACGAUCAGUAGGGGAUCUGAGAGGACUAACCCCCACACUGGUACUGAGACACGGACCAGACUCCUACGGGAGGCAGCAGUAAGGAAUAUUGGUCAAUGGAGGCAACUCUGAACCAGCCAUGCCGCGUGCAGGAUGACGGCCCUAUGGGUUGUAAACUGCUUUUAUACAAGAGAAAACCCUGGUACGUGUACCAGGUUGAUAGUAUUGUAAGAAUAAAGCAAUCGGCUAAACUUCGUGCCAGCAGCCGCGGUAAU
rnacentral:rRNA from 1 species